GCCGUGGCCUACUGGUUAGCGCUUCGGACUUGUAACCGGAGGGUUGCCGGUUCGAAUCCGACCAGUAGGCA
rnacentral:tRNA from 1 species